GCGGCCGUAGUCUAGCUUGGUCAGGACACCGGCUUCCCAAGCCGAGAACCCGGGUUCAAAUCCCGGCGGCCGCA
rnacentral:tRNA from 1 species